AAAAGACAUAUGAUCCAGAUUGUGUGAAAGAAAGACCGAAAAAGAAAGGGAAACAGAUUGUCGGUCCUGGUCACGGCCCACAAGGAGCCUCUCAUGCCCAAACAGAGAGGUGCCUGCCUACGAGUAAACCAAGACGCAGCGCGUAUCCCACGCCCGACAAUGCAACAUUCUGAACCACUUCCCUCAUACAGACCCGGGAUGACAUUUUGACUUUCUAACUUGUUGCUGUUCUGAAGAACCGAACCGUGAAGCAAUUUUGCAGAAACUGUGUUCUGUGGAGGUUUGGGGAAGUAUCGGACAGUGGGGAUAUGAGAGCUGAGUUGGGACCCAAGCUCAAGUCCGAAGCCAUGACCAGCAAUCCAUGCCGUCUCUCACCCCUCCAUCUCGCAUCUGCAUCGCAUCUGCAAACUGGGCAUUAAUCUACACAAAGGCUUUCAAAAUAUUUUGCAGGCAUUUCCUGACCUAGUCCAGUGCUUCCUUCAUAAGGUGAAUAAAGAGGCUGAGAGAACGCAUGACUUGAUCACGGAAUGCUGAAAUGAAAACCAGCAUCUUCCAGAACCUAACACAGGGACUUCACUGAACCCCUGGGAUUCUCUCUCACUCCCUGGAUGUACAACUUCAAGUUAUGUUGAAAAAGUGCAGUGUUAGCCACGGUUUCUUUAUCAUCUAAAUAAACCUACAUCCUGC
rnacentral:lncRNA from 1 species